rnacentral:rRNA from 1 species
GACGAACGCUGGCGGCGUGCUUAACACAUGCAAGUCGAACGGAAAGGCCCUGCUUUUGUGGGGUGCUCGAGUGGCGAACGGGUGAGUAACACGUGAGUAACCUGCCCUUGACUUUGGGAUAACUUCAGGAAACUGGGGCUAAUACCGGAUAGGAGCUCCUGCUGCAUGGUGGGGGUUGGAAAGUUUCGGCGGUUGGGGAUGGACUCGCGGCUUAUCAGCUUGUUGGUGGGGUAGUGGCUUACCAAGGCUUUGACGGGUAGCCGGCCUGGGAGGGUGACCGGCCACAUUGGGACUGGGAUACGGCCCAGGCUCCUACGGGGGGCAGCAGUGGGGAAUAUUGCACAAUGGGCGGAAGCCUGAUGCAGCAACGCCGCGUGCGGGAUGACGGCCUUCGGGUUGUAAACCGCUUUCGCCUGUGACGAAGCGUGAGUGACGGUAAUGGGUAAAGAAACACCGGCUAACUACGU